AUUGAACGCUGGCGGCAUGCCUUACACAUGCAAGUCGAACGGUAACAGGUCUUCGGAUGCUGACGAGUGGCGAACGGGUGAGUAAUGCAUCGGAACGUGCCCAGUUGUGGGGGAUAACUGCUCGAAAGAGCAGCUAAUACCGCAUACGACCUGAGGGAGAAAGCGGGGGAUCGCAAGACCUCGCGCAAUUGGAGCGGCCGAUGUCAGAUUAGGUAGUUGGUGGGGUAAAGGCCUACCAAGCCGACGAUCUGUAGUUGGUCUGAGAGGACGACCAGCCACACUGGGACUGAGACACGACCCAGACUCCUACGGGAGGCAGCAGUGGGGAAUUUUGGACAAUGGGCGCAAGCCUGAUCCAGCAAUGCCGCGUGCAGGAAGAAGGCCUUCGGGUUGUAAACUGCUUUUGUCAGGGAAGAAAUCCUCUGGGUUAAUACCCCGGGGGGAUGACGGUACCUGAAGAAUAAGCACCGGCUAACUACGUGCCAGCAGCCGCGGUAAGAC
rnacentral:rRNA from 1 species